AGUCGUUUAAGAGCCGCGGUAUUUUGACCGUGCAAAGGUAGCAUAAUCAUUAGUUUUUUAAUUGGGAACUUGUAUGAAUGGUCGGACAAAGGAAGAACUGUCUAUUAUUAUAAAAAUUGAAAUUAACUUUUAAGUGAAAAGGCUUAAAUAUUUCAAGGGGACGAUAAGACCCUAUAAAGCAUUUUAUUGGGGCGAUAUAGGUAUAAUUAUUAACUGCUUAAAAAGAAAUACAAGAAUAAUUGGAAUGAUCCUUUUUAAAGAUUAAAAGACUAAGUUACUUUAGGGAUAACAGCGUUAUUUCUUUUGAGAGUUCAUAUCGAAAAAGAAGUUUGCGACCUCGAUGUUGAAUUAAAAUGUCUAUAUAAUGCAGCCGUUAUAUAAGAGGGUCUGUUCGACCUUUAAUUUUUU
rnacentral:rRNA from 1 species